CCUACGGGAGGCAGCAGUGGGGAAGUAUUGGACAAUGGGCGAAAGCCUGAUCCAGCAAUUCCGCGUGUGUGAAGAAGGCCUUCGGGUUGUAAAGCACUUUAGUUGGGAAGAAACAGCUUGGCCACACCAAGCCUUGACGGUACCCAAAGAAUAAGCACCGGCUAACUUCGUGCCAGCAGCCGCGGUAAGACGAAGGAUGCAAGCGUUAUCCGGAUUCAUUGGGUUUAAAGGGAGCGUAGGUGGACUGAUAAGUCAGUGGUGAAAUCUCCGAGCUUAACUCGGAAAUUGCCAUUGAUACUGUUGGUCUUGAGUACAGUUGCUGUGGGCGGAAUAUGACAUGUAGUGGUGAAAUACAUAGAGAUGUCAUAGAACACCGAUUGCGAAGGCAGCUCACAAAGCUGUAACUGACACUGAGGCUCGAAAGUGCGGGGAUCAAACAGGAUUAGAUACCCUGGUAGUCCGCACCGUAAACGAUGAUUACUCGCUGCGUGGGUCGGUACCGUUACGUUAGGUCGUAGUACGAAGACGAGUAAGUAAGUACCGACCGUACGGGAGGGUAACGGUACCGGGCCGACCGGUUACGGUAACGUUAACGAAGUAGAAGUUAGUUACGGCGUUGGAGGACGACGCCGACGGACGACGACGACGGGAGGAGGAG
rnacentral:rRNA from 1 species